GAGAGUGGGUAGUCCGCACGAGCGCACCCUAUCUUCAGUUGCCAUCAGGUUAUGCUGGGCACUCUGAAGAGACUGCCGGUGAUAAGCCGGAGGAAGGCGGGGAUGACGUCAAGUCCUCAUGGCCCUUAUGACCUGGGCUACACACGUGCUACAAUGGCGUUGACAAUGAGCAGCGAUAGCGCAAGCUUCAGCUAACCUCAAAAAUACGUCUCAGUUCGGAUAGAUCUCUGCAACUCGAGUUCUUGAAGUUGGAAUCGCUAGUAAUCGCAGAUCAGCAUGCUGCGGUGAAUACGUUCCCGGGCCUUGUACACACCGCCCGUCACACCAUGGAAGUUGGUUUUACCCAAAGACGACAAGCUAACCGCAAGGAGGCAGUCGGCUACGGUAAGGUCAGCGACUGGGGUGAAGUCGUAACAAGGUAGCCGUACCGGAAGGUGUGGCUGGAUCACCUCCUUUCU
rnacentral:rRNA from 1 species